GAUGAACGCUAGCUACAGGCUUAACACAUGCAAGUCGAGGGGAAACGACAGAGGAAGCUUGCUUCCUUUGGGCGUCGACCGGCGCACGGGUGAGUAACGCGUAUCCAACCUUCCCGCAAGUAAGGGAUAACCCGUAGAAAUGCGGCCUAAUACCUUAUGUUUUCCUUAGAGGGCAUCUGAUGAGGAACAAAGAUCCGUCGCUUGCGGAUGGGGAUGCGUCUGAUUAGGUUGUUGGCGGGGUAACGGCCCACCAAGCCUACGAUCAGUAGGGGUUCUGAGAGGAAGGUCCCCCACAUUGGAACUGAGACACGGUCCAAACUCCUACGGGAGGCAGCAGUGAGGAAUAUUGGUCAAUGGACGGAAGUCUGAACCAGCCAAGUAGCGUGCAGGAUGACGGCCCUAUGGGUUGUAAACUGCUUUUAUGUGGGAAUAAAGUGAGGGACGUGUCCCUUUUUGUAGGUACCACAUGAAUAAGGACCGGCUAAUUCCGUG
rnacentral:rRNA from 1 species